AAUAUAAAAUAAAAAACUACAUCGAUCACAUCAAUGUCCUGAAUCUGAUCUAACCUUUAGAUCACAUCGGUUGAGUUCAGAACUCAUCACCUUUUCAUAGGUCAAUGAUCUCCGUUGCUGAUAGGUAUGAUACAAAACUUUCACUAAUAUCGAGUAACCACAUAGGUCGUUCGGCCUCUACAGAUCAUCCACUCGAAGCCA
rnacentral:lncRNA from 1 species